rnacentral:rRNA from 1 species
CAGUAGCCACGGUAAUACAGAGGGUGCGAGCGUUAAUCGGAUUUACUGGGCGUAAAGCGUGCGUAGGCGGCUUCUUAAGUCGGAUGUGAAAUCCCUGAGCUUAACUUAGGAAUUGCAUUCGAUACUGGGAAGCUAGAGUAUGGGAGAGGAUGGUAGAAUUCCAGGUGUAGCGGUGAAAUGCGUAGAGAUCUGGAGGAAUACCGAUGGCGAAGGCAGCCAUCUGGCCUAAUACUGACGCUGAGGUACGAAAGCAUGGGGAGCAAACAGGAUUAGAGACCCCUGUAGUCCCUGUCUCUUAUAC